rnacentral:lncRNA from 1 species
AUGAGAGAAGAGCAGGACAAAGCAAAAGAGGGAGAACUGAUGAAGAUGGAAAAGCAAAGAGAGAUUGAGAGAGAAGUAAAAAGAACAAGUGAGCUGCAGACACCCAGAAAAACAGAGCUGGAUAAAGUGAUAGGCGAAGGUAAAGAAUGGAUGAGAGAAAUUAAGCAAAAAGUAGAGAAAAGAAAAGAUACAGAGCUAGAUUUGAAAGAUGGACAGAAUAAUCUGGAGCAUAAACUAGCAGAUGAAAGAGAAAAAGAUACUGAGGAAGAAGAGAAAACAGCAGAACAGAGGAAGCCAACUAUCAAAGGGAUGGACUGGUUGAGAGAAAUGAGACAAAAAGAAGAGAAAGACAUAGAUAUCACUCAGCAAGAGGAACAGCUUUUUCUGCAGAAUACCUCAAAAGAAAGAGCAGAAGAGUCUGUGGUUAGACCAGUGGAAGAAAAGGACAAACCAAUCCAAGGGAUGGAAUGGUUGAGAGAAUUCAAGCUAAAAGAGAAGAAAAUUGUGGAUUCAGGAAGUAAUAUAACAAUUGAGGGUGAAAUAAAUCAAAGUACAAGUAAGCUAAUGGAAGGAAAGACAGCAACUGAACGAAAACAUGAGCAACUGGAGGAUGACUGGCUUGGAGAUAUGGGCCUAACGAAAAGAGAGGACAAAUGGAGUGAGAUUGGGAAGAAACAUCAGCGAAGCAGAGAGGAGAGUAGACAAGAGCUGGGGAAACAUAUCGAUCAAGGAGAGCAGACAGAAAACAACAAAUGUAUGGUGCUGAGCCCAAGAAGAAGAAAUGCAGCGAGAAAGAAAGAUGCUGAAGAUCAAAUAAUGACAGAGGUGAAUAAACAGGGAAUUAAUGAGGUUAAGAACCUGGAAAAUGAGGGAAUGGACUGGCUCGAAGAAAUUAAGCAGAAUGUGGUGAGAAAGAAGAGAGAGAGUUUGCAAGAGGGACAGCAAAUUAUAGAUGAACAACUAUCCAUUCAGAAGGAAAGAAUGGGUGUAAUGAACAACAAGAGAGAAAGAGAAAUGGAAGGGCAGCAGGUGGAGAGAUGUGGACAACUGGAUGACUGGCUAGGAGGUAUUGGCACAGAAACAAACAAUAAAAAGAGAAUAAUCCCAAGUAGGAGGCAAAGGGGGGAAGACCAAACAGAAGCUACAAGACAGAUGGAGAAAGAUGAAUUGCUGGAUGACUGGCUUGAAGAAAAGGAGCAAAAGACAACUGAGGAAAGAUGGCGGGAACUCCGAGAGAAACGCCAGAAGUGGUAA